CGCUUGAAUGGCAUUCAAGAGGUAAGGGGUUCGAUCCCCCUCAUCUCCACCA
rnacentral:tRNA from 1 species